UUAACUCAAAUUUGUAUGGAGUUGAAACGUUUGCUUACGUUUGCCGCAAGGGCGCUGUUCCAAUUGCUUACAAAUUAGGGUUG
rfam:Bombyx mori DNA, contig: Bm_scaf57_contig28218, strain: p50T/Dazao, build 2, whole genome shotgun sequence.